CGGGGUGCAGCAGGCGCGAAAACUUUACACUGCGGGAAACCGCGAUAAGGGGACCCCGAGUGCCAGCACCUAGUGCUGGCUGUCCAGCUGUUCAAAUAACAGUUGUUAGCAAGGGCCGGGCAAGACCGGUGCCAGCCGCCGCGGUAACACCGGCGGCCCGAGUGGUAGCCGUUAUUAUUGGGUUUAAAGGGUCCGUAGCCGGCCUAUUAAGUCUCUUGGGAAAUCUGGCGACUCAAUCGUCAGGCGUCCAAGAGAUACUGGUAGGCUUGGGACCGGGAGAGGUGGGAGGUACUCCAGGGGUAGGGGUGAAAUCUCGUAAUCCUUGGGGGACCACCGAUGGCGAAGGCAUCCCACCAGAACGGGUCCGACGGUGAGGGACGAAAGCUGGGGGCACGAACCGGAUUAGAUACCCGGGUAGUCCCAGCCGUAAACGAUGCUCGCUAGGUGUCAGGUGCGGUGCGACCGCAUCUGGUGCCGCAGUGAAAACUUGAAGCGAGUCACCUGGGAAGUACGGUCGCAAGGCUGAAACUUAAAGGAAUUGGCGGGGGAGCAC
rnacentral:rRNA from 1 species